rnacentral:rRNA from 1 species
AGAGUUUGAUCCUGGCUCAGGACGAACGCUGGCGGCGUGCUUAACACAUGCAAGCCGAACGGAAAGGCCCUUUCGGGGGUACUCGAGUGGCGAACGGGUGAGUAACACGUGGGUGAUCUGCCCUGCACUUUGGGAUAAGCCUGGGAAACUGGGUCUAAUACCGAAUACACCCUGCUGGUCGCAUGGCCUGGUGGGGGAAAGCUUUUGCGGUGUGGGAUGGGCCCGCGGCCUAUCAGCUUGUUGGUGGGGUGAUGGCCUACCAAGGCGACGACGGGUAGCCGGCCUGAGAGGAUGAUCAGCCACACUGGGACUGAGACACGGCCCAGACUCCUACGGGAGGCAGCAGUGGGGAAUAUUGCACAAUGGGCGCAAGCCUGAUGCAGCGACGCCGCGUGGGGGAUGACGGCCUUCGGGUUGUAAACCUCUUUCACCAUCGGCGAAGCCCAUGAUUUUUGUUGUGGGUGACGGUAGGUGGAGAAGAAGCACCGGCCAACUACGUGCCAGCAGCCGCGGUAAUACGUAGGGUGCGAGCGUUGUCCGGAAUUACUGGGCGUAAAGAGCUCGUAGGUGGUUUGUCGCGUUGUCCGUGAAAUUCCCUGGCUUAACUGGGGGCGUGCGGGCGAUACGGGCAGACUAGAGUACUGCAGGGGAGACUGGAAUUCCUGGUGUAGCGGUGGAAUGCGCAGAUAUCAGGAGGAACACCGGUGGCGAAGGCGGGUCUCUGGGCAGUAACUGACGCUGAGGAGCGAAAGCGUGGGGAGCGAACAGGAUUAGAUACCCUGGUAGUCC